rnacentral:rRNA from 1 species
UCCUACGGGGCGCAGCAGUGAGGAAUAUUGGUCAAUGGGCGGGAGCCUGAACCAGCCAAGUCGCGUGAGGGAAGACGGUCCUAUGGAUUGUAAACCUCUUUAGGCGGGGAGCAAUGCCGGGCACGCGUGCCCGGAGGGAGAGUACCCGCAGAAUAAGCAUCGGCCAACUCCGUGCCAGCAGCCGCGGUAAUACGGAGGAUGCGAGCGUUAUCCGGAUUUAUUGGGUUUAAAGGGUGCGUAGGCGGAUUUUUAAGUCAGCGGUAACAUGUCCGGGCUCAACCAGGGCCGGCCGGUGAAACUGGGGG